CCUACGGGGCGCAGCAGUGGGGAAUAUUGGACAAUGGGGGAAACCCUGAUCCAGCGACGCCGCGUGAGUGAGGAAGUAUUUCGGUACGUAAAGCUCUAUCAGCAGGAAAGAAAAUGACGGUACCUGACUAAGAAGCCCCGGCUAACUACGUGCCAGCAGCCGCGGUAAUACGUAGGGGGCAAGCGUUAUCCGGAUUUACUGGGUGUAAAGGGAGCGUAGACGGCAGCGCAAGUCUGGAGUGAAAUGCCGGGGCCCAACUCCGGCACUGCCUCUGAUACUGUCGGGCUAGAGUUUAGUUGCGGUAG
rnacentral:rRNA from 1 species